UUUGUUGGCUUGUUUCAGUGACGACUGUGUGAGACUCCGGCUGGUUGGAGUCUGUGGUCGGUGUGUACAGGGAGGUGAUUUCACUGAACAGCUAAAAUCAAGAAGAGAAAAGAGGCAAAUAAAUGCUGAAAUGAACAGAUCGAAUCUGGUUUAUCUGGUUAAUAACUUGGCAUGUGUUAUAAUUUUGACACACUAAUGGAGUCUUGGAGUGGUUCAGGCAUUCAUAAAUGUAGUUUUAUAGACAUACAUCCAUGACCUGUUCUUCACAACAGAGAUGUGAUGUUUGAGGAGCUAUUUUGGGCGUUCCUGGUUCCUUGUGUGAAAACAGAACUAAAAAUAUACUCUAUCAAAAACAAACAGUGUAUUUUUGGUGUAUUUCCAUGUAGUGACUUGCCCUGGAUCACCUUGAGGACUUUGUGUGGCACUUCAGGGAGGAGCUCCUUCAGCUGAGACAAAGGAGCCCCCAGGAGCCACUGGAAGGAUGGCGCUCUCCUCAGCAUUAGCUGGCUAACCAGAGGAUUAAUACAAGGGAACUGCAACAAACACUCUUCCUCCUGUAGGGAAAGGAAAACAUGUUUCAGCGCACCAACUCCAAGACUUUUGCUGUUCACAUUGGGGAAGCACAGGAGACACCCCUCUUUAGGCAUUUACUGUGCAGUUAUCCUGCAUUAGUACAACUUGAGAGUUUGGUUAAAACUAAAAGAAUCCAUGGAUCACGGACAGCCAGUCCCUGCUCAGGUAGCUGAGAGGAUCCAUGUCAGUGGACAUCAGGCUGUGGAAGCAGAUCUGACUGAUGCACCUGGCAAUUUCCAAGACCUCUGACACCAUCAGCACCUGGAAAACAGACAUCUUCAUGCAAUACUCAAGAAGCUCAGUAGAGGGAGAUGAAAACACUGAGUUAAUCCGGCAUCGUGGCAGAUUUGUGUUCUUUGCAGCAGGUAUCUCUGCCCCAGUACCUGAAUGACGACAGCGGUACUUUCAUCCACUGUGAUCACAGCGUAGCGAUGGGUCCCUCCGAGCAUCUGCAAGGACGGACAGUGGCUCCUCUCUAGCACACUUAUAUUAAACCUGUACCAC